rnacentral:tRNA from 1 species
GGCUCCGUGGUGGAAUGGUAGACACGAUGGACUCAAAAUCCAUUGAGGCAACUCAUGUCGGUUCGAGUCCGACCGGAGCUACCA